rnacentral:sRNA from 1 species
GGAGCUGCGGGGUUACCAUGGGAACCGAACCGCCGCGCCUCGCCCAGGACAGGUACACUUAGAGGCCUUUUGUGUCCAGCUGGGCAGAAGUGCUGCACCACAGGCUGUGGUCGGAUCUGCUGAGACAUUCCUAAGGGGAGGAAAAGAGAUUGCCUUAGGGUUAUUCGGAAACAAUCCUGUUUGAAAAGGUGCAUCACUGAUGAGACAUGUCCAGGUGUAAAGAAAUGCUGCACGCUUGGCUGCAACAAGAGCUGUGUAGUCCCAAUCUCUAAACAGAAGCUGGGGCGGGGCGGUGAUUGUCCAAAAGUUCUGGUGGGCCUGUGCAUUGUUGGCUGUGUGAUGGAUGAGAAUUGUCAAGCUGGAGAAAAAUGUUGCAAGUCAGGCUGUGGCCGCUUCUGUGUCCCACCAGUCCUGCCCCCAAAACUGACCACGAACCCCAACUGGACUGUGAGGUCUGAUUCUGAAUUAGAGAUCCCGGUGCCCUAGCUGUGCUGAUUUGUCUGGAGCUUCUUUGGUAAUUCUGGAAGCUUUUCCUGGCAGUCAAGAGGGUGACAUCCUGGGGCUUGUGACAUUUCCAGGGGCACUCAUGGCCCUCUCUGCUCUGCUUCUCCUCCUGCCACUGACCAGAGCAUGGGAAAUAGCCCUGGAUUGGGCAGUGGGUGUGUGGUGCUUCUCUUUCCCAAUAAAGGCUGGUGCUGA